UUCCGGUUGAUCCUGCCGGACCUGACUGCUAUCGGAUUGAUACUAAGCCAUGCGAGUCAUUGUAGCAAUACAAGGCAGACGGCUCAGUAACGCGUAGUCAACCUAACCUAUGGACGGGAAUAACCUCGGGAAACUGAGAAUAAUGCCCGAUAGAACACUAUAUCUGGAAUGGUUUGUGUUCCAAAUGAUUUAUCGCCGUAGGAUGGGACUGCGGCCUAUCAGUUUGUUGGUGAGGUAAUGGCCCACCAAGACUAUUACAGGUACGGGCUCUGAGAGGAGUAGCCCGGAGAUGGGUACUGAGACACGGACCCAGGCCCUAUGGGGCGCAGCAGGCGAGAAAACUUUGCAAUGUGCGAAAGCACGACAAGGUUAAUCCGAGUGGUUUGUGCUAAACGAACCUUUUGUCGGUCCUAGAAACACCGAUGAAUAAGGGGUGGGCAAGUUCUGGUGUCAGCCGCCGCGGUAAAACCAGCACCUCAAGUGGUCAGGAUGAUUAUUGGGCCUAAAGCAUCCGUAGCCGGCGCUGUAAGUUUUCGGUUAAAUCUGUACGCUCAACGUACAGGCUGCCGGGAAUACUGCAGCGCUAGGGAGUGGGAGAGGUAGACGGUACUCGGUAGGAAGGGGUAAAAUCCUUUGAUCUAUUGAUGACCACCUGUGGCGAAGGCGGUCUACCAGAACACGUCCGACGGUGAGGGAUGAAAGCUGGGGGAGCAAACCGGAUUAGAUACCCGGGUAGUCCCAGCUGUAAACUAUGCAAACUCAGUGAUGCAUUGGCUUGUGGCCAAUGCAGUGCUGCAGGGAAGCCGUUAAGUUUGCCGCCUGGGAAGUACGUACGCAAGUAUGAAACUUAAAGGAAUUGGCGGGGGAGCACCACAAGGGUGAAGCCUGCGGUUCAAUUGAGUCAACGCCGG
rnacentral:rRNA from 1 species